AUUGAACGCUGGCGGCAUGCCUUACACAUGCAAGUCGAACGGCAGCACUGGAGCAAUCCUGGUGGCGAGUGGCGAACGGGUGAGUAAUAUAUCGGAACGUGCCCAGUCGUGGGGGAUAACGCAGCGAGAGCUGUGCUAAUACCGCAUACGAUCUAUGGAUGAAAGCGGGGGAUCGCAAGACCCCGCGCGAUUGGAGCGGCCGAUAUCAGAUUAGCUAGUUGGUGAGGUAAAGGCUCACCAAGGCGACGAUCUGUAGCUGGUCUGAGAGGACGACCAGCCACACUGGAACUGAGACACGGUCCAGACUCCUACGGGAGGCAGCAGUGGGGAAUUUUGGACAAUGGGCGAAAGCCUGAUCCAGCAAUGCCGCGUGCAGGGUGAAGGCCUUCGGGUUGUAAACUGCUUUUGUACGGAACGAAACGGUGAGCUCUAAUACAGUUUGCUAAUGACGGUACCGUAAGAAUAAGCACCGGCUAACUACGUGCCAGCAGCCGCAGUAA
rnacentral:rRNA from 1 species